rnacentral:ncRNA from 1 species
UGCUGAGGAGCGUUGCAACGGAUUUAUCCGCUAGGCUCAGAUAAGGACGAAAAAAUUUCAACGGCGCUCGCUU